rnacentral:rRNA from 1 species
UACGUAGGGGGCAAGCGUUGUCCGGAUUUAUUGGGCGUAAAGAGCGUGUAGGCGGCCAGGUAGGUCCGCUGUGAAAACUCGAGGCUUAACCUCGAGCUGUCGGUGGAAACCAUCUGGCUAGAGUCCGGAAGAGGAGAACGGAAUUCCCGGUGUAGCGGUGAAAUGCUUAGAUAUGACAUAGAACACCAAUUGCGAAGGCAGCUGGCUACACAAAUAUUGACACUGAGGCUCGAAAGCGUGGGGAUCAAACAGG